GAAGUUGUGAGUUGCAAUCGCAGUUUGCGAUCAGAGAUGUUGCGCUCUUUUAUUGUUAUUCUUGUUCUCAUUUAGAGUUUGUUUCAUGGACAAUUCACAGAGGAUACGGACAAAGAAUGGAAAUCAUGGAGUGCCGGGAGAAGCAAUUUCAAAUGGUACACGUGAGCUACGACCGUGAACACGCUGCAAAAAGUGCCGUCCCAUGCCUCCGCGUCAGGUCUCUACUAAGGUGCCUCCGGUUGGCUUUGGGACGCGUGAGACCACAACACUUCUGCAUCCGGAUAGACGUCGCUGAACGUGCAGACAGGGCCGUCCUUCGUCAAAACGCCUUUGACCGUCCCGCAGCACUCUGUCGAGCACACCAUCAGUGAACUUCACUUUAAGAGCUUACCUGCAUCUUAUUUGAAGAAUUGUGGUAACAGUUCGCAUGUUGAAGAACUUUUAAGUCGGGUCUUUCAUGAAUCAAGGUUCCGAUGUAAAGAAGUCCACUCUCAUAGCAACAUCCCGUGUAAUUCAACCAUCAUUCGAGGUUCUUAUGUGUUUUUUGACCAGUCCUGGAAUGACAGACCUUAUUUCUUACGAAAAAUGCCCACAGAUCUUUUCAGUUCAAACUUUUUGGGCUUUCAAAUGGAAUUCAGGAGCAUAGUGAGGAGAGCGACAUAAAAAGACAGCCGCUCUCUUUGUCUGUUUUGGCAGCGAUUGUGUGAAAUAGUCGCAGUGCACAGAUGAGCUCUUUUGCAGACCGUGGGCAGACGCAUUGGGGAGCUUGUCACCUCCGUGCGUUCCGCGCUCGUGUCACACAAAGGGACAGUGGCUCUGUCAGUCACAGUGUCACUUCCACAAGCCUGCAUACUCCCCGCAGGCCUUUUUACCCCGCCUUUGGCAUCGCUUCGUGAUCUCAAUGCUCACAGGACUUCUGCUUUUACUGUGAAGGCUUCUGGUCUGUCAAAACAAUCCGCACACAAGGCAAAUGAGUACGUAUGUUCAUAUUGCUCCUGUCAUCACCUGUGCAUGGGAUUGGAUCCACCGUGUGUUAUGACUUCAAAGCACUGUGAGAAAACAUUUUCAUAAAGU